UAAAAAGUCAGGAGAUAUAAAAACGGUGCAUAAAUUAUGGGGAUUACAGUUCAGUUCAUAUUUUAAAGCAAGUUAAAAAAGGGACACCCCAGUAAUAUUUUUUGUUCAGAUUCAGUUUUUAUCUAAUUACACUUGAAGUUUUAUCAAACUGGAUUCCCUAAAGAUGCCACAAUGCUCUCAGGAAGAAUGUAUACUGCCUUAUAGGGAAGCCUGCAGAAUAAAUCCUGUAGUUGAAGCUUUAAACAAAGUCGUGAUCUGUGCCUCUUUAUUUUAUUACCCAGGUGGAGUAAUUGUCCUCAAAAUGACUCCUAUGUAAAACAGUAAAAAUGAUAAGACUGUUGUAAACAUGUUAAAGUAAAGCAUAACUUUGGAAACUGUUUAAAAGUAAUCAAAGUUGGUAGCAGGUAAAGUGAGCUUCAAGUACAGUAGCUUUGCUAAUGAAGCACAAAUGGUAUUUGUGACAGUAAGGUUAAUCAGGCUCAUACAUCUUUUCAAUUUACAAUGUUUUUUAUGUGUGUUGUUGAGGUGAGAGGAGCUGCAAAUGCAAUUACCAAUGAACACAUUGUUUAAUAAUGGGCUUUAUAUAAACGGUUAUACACUAGCUGCUUGAUGAGUUCUAGUUUAUGAUAUUGUGUGUAUUGUGCGUAUGUCAGUGUGAGCAAAUGUUCAGAUUAGAGUGAUUACGCCCCUCCCUGAGCCUGGUUCUGCCGGAGGUUUCUUCCUGUUAAAAGGGAGUUUUUCCUUCCCACUGUCACCAAAGUGCUUUAUACGGGGUCAUAUGGUUAUUUGGUUUUUUGCUGCAUGUAUUACUAUAAGGUCUAUGUUAAUGUUGUGGUGAUUUGGCACUAUAUAAAGAAAAUUGAAUUCAAACCAGUGCGGCCGUUUAAUUUUAAAAAGCUGGUUUUGGGCUUGAAAUCCUAUAUUGUAGAUUUGGCCUGUGAGGUCAUAUAGAUUCAUGUGAGCAUGAGUGGAGUGUGUCACUGUCACAGGGUGGUGAUGUGUGUAGGUGUACCUCUGCUGUCAUAGCCCUACCCUGCACCCCCCACAUCAAGAAAAUGUUAAACAAACAAGGAAGUCAUUUUUAGAAAUUAGAAUAAAACUUCCUGUUUCUGCUUGCUGGAUAGUCCACAGUGAGGUGCUUUGUGUCCUUUUUCCAUAGCUUAAUGUAAACAAGUCCAUUCAUAAGCCAUAUCUACACUGUGUCUUUGUGUCAGGGGGGAAAUUUGUAUCUUAAUAUUGAAAUACUGAGUACAGAGUGUGUGUUAGUACAGAUGGUUAUUCACUGCAGAGCUGUCUGCAUGAACACCAGAGAAGAACCAGAUUGCUGUGUGUCCAUCAAACAGUGAAGAGCUGCUGGAUUCAUUGUUUCCUCCAAAUGAAAGAAAAGUCAUUUUCAUGUGACAGAGCGACGAUGCAGUGGAGUCUGUUUCUGCUUCUUCUGAUGGGUCAGUGUGUCUUCAUCACAUGUCACCUGUAUGAGUACCACUUUAUUAAAGAACAGAUGAGCUGGGAUGAAGCACGGGCAUACUGCAGAGAGAACUACACAGACCUGGCCAAAGUGUUUGACCUGACAGACAUGAGAAGACUUCAAGACUCUGCACAGAAUCAAACAGAAGCCUGGAUUGGACUGUACAACAUCACAGGAGGAGACAACAGGACGUGGCACUGGUCUCUGCCGGGGGAGGAAUACACUGAAAAUAAUACCUGUUGGGGAAAUACAGAGCCAAAUGAUGGAGCAUAUCCUGAGAACUGUGUGAUGACAGGAGACAAGUGGGCAGAUUAUCCAUGUACCCACACAUUUCAGUUCAUC